AAGUCGUAACAAGGUUUCCGUAGGUGAACCUGCGGAAGGAUCAUCAUCGAAUUCAUAUCCCCCUCCUCUCCCGGAGGGGGACCCAUGAUAAACCCUUCUGUGCACCGUAAACCGUUCACUUUGGCAGGCUUUGGUGGUGAGCGUGAGCUCACCUCCAACCUCGCGUUCCCUCCCUAAGGACGUUACGCGUGGCGGCCUGCCGAAGUCCUCCCAUUAAAAACACGUUUUCGAACACGUCUGAAAAUUUGCUUUGAGAAAUCAAAGAAUCAAAACAACUUUCAACAACGGAUCUCUUGGCUCUC
rnacentral:misc_RNA from 1 species